rfam:Salmo salar isolate Sally breed double haploid chromosome ssa10, whole genome shotgun sequence.
UGAUGCAUGCUUUGUAAGUCGCUCUGGAUAAGAGCGUCUGCUAAAUGACUAAAA